GACGAACGCUGGCGGCGUGCUUAACACAUGCAAGUCGAACGGACAGGCCCUGCUUUUGUGGGUUGCUCGAGUGGCGAACGGGUGAGUAACACGUGAGUAUCCUGCCCUUGUCUUUGGGAUAACUUCAGGAAACUGCGGCUAAUACCGGAUAGGAGCUCCUGCAGCAUGGUGGGGGUUGGAAAGUUUCGGCGGUUGGGGAUGGACUCGCGGCUUAUCAGCUUGUUGGUGGGGUAGUGGCUUACCAAGGCUUUGACGGGUAGCCGGCCUGGGAGGGUGGCCGGCGACAUGGGGACUGAGGUAGGGCGCAGACGGGUACGGGAGGCAGCAGGGGGGAAUAUUGCACAGUGGCCGGAAGCGUGAUGUAGCAACGCUGCGAUCGUGAUGACGUGUUACGGGUUGUAAACAGCUGUCUCCGUAGACGAAGCGUGAGUGACGGUAAUGGGUAAAGAAGCACCGGCUAACUACGUG
rnacentral:rRNA from 1 species